GUCAAAUCUCCCCAUGGUGAUGAGCUCAGAUCCAGCAGAGUCAAGCCAAUAUUCAUUUGUUUUCAAGCAACUUUUCUCUCCUGAUCACCCGGAAAAUCCUUCCAGAAUUACCAAUAAUCAUCUCAACAAAAAGUUGAAGAGAGCCAGCAGUAAAAAGAGAAAACAAUAGCUAAAAGAAGAAUCAAGAACAAAGCAAAAGGACUUUGUGAGGAAGGAAAGAAGCUUCCAGGGCUUCAGCAGAAGAAACAAGACCAAGUGGAGCAAAUGCAGUGAAAUCAGGACAUGAGAUCUUUUCAAACUACUUGUAGAGGGUGUUCUCUUUUCCUUCAUGCAUAGGUCAGCACAAACAACACACCCUAUUUCAAGGAGGACCUCUGUUGGCUUGUUAUUGUCAUAUGUCCCUGGAGAGAGAAGGGUAUGGACAGUCAUCUUCUCCAUCUUAGGAUACAGAGUGAAAACACAUACCAAGAUAAUGCCUCUGAAUAUUCCUUCUCUACCCCAGUCACAUGAUAUUCAGAUCAGAAAACACUGAUCCCUGCCUGAUAAGCUAGCCUGGUAUCUUCAUCUCCAGAUAAAGCCCAUUACAAGUGCUUUGGCCUUCAGGUCUCUACCCCUUUCCUCCGAUCAUGGAUGCUCUUGCAGCACCUACCAGCCACUGCCACCUGAAAUGAGCAAAAGAUAAACAUAUCCAUGAAUAAGAACAUCUAUAGCAAAUGCUACAAACAACAGCCAGCAUGUAGCGGCUGAGGACAACACUUAGG